GUCUACAGCCGUACUGCCCUGAAUGCGCCUGAUCUCAUCUGGCCUCAGAAGCUAAGCAGGGGUGGGACCUGGUUAGUCCCUUUGGAGGCUUCCCUGGUAGCUCAGACA
ensembl:rRNA 5S_rRNA 5S ribosomal RNA